rnacentral:rRNA from 1 species
AUGAAUGAUGAUGCCUUCUCAAAUCUCAUUGUAUUAUGUAUUACAACUCAAUUAAAUGAUCAAGAUGAAACAAGGGUGACAAAUAUUAGCAGGUUUGGGUGUUACAUUCAGACUGCUCACCGAUUCGCUGGCAUUCCAAUCUUUGGAAGCCUUCAAGGCCCGACACAAGAACAAGCCAUUUACUCUCACGCAUUGUUGGUCGCUCAUCAAAGAUUGCCCCAUGUUCAAAGACCAAUAUGCCGCUCACAAGGAGGGAAGGCGGCCGGGGCUGAGGAGGGAGACUUGCUCAAGAGGCCGAGGGGCAAGACCAGCUCGAAGGCCGACGAGAAGCGUGAUGCGGCUUCCAUGGCCUUGCAAGCAACUUCGGAAGGCAUGAUGAGUCAAAAGGAAGUGAGGGAGGAGAGGAGGAGCAAAUGA